AGCAGUACUACUUAUUACCCUUGAAGUCUGCAAAUCCACAAAACAAUGGCUGUUGGGAAUUUGUUCUGAGAUCCCUGAAAGAGGACGGAGACUACAACCGGCGCUACAUGAAAUUCGUCGAUUUUGAUGAUGAAAAUGAUUGAUUAUACAGUGGAAGGCAACUGCUUGAAAUCUCUCUCCGCCGUCUCAAAACAGUUAAUCUCCGAUUCUCUCUCACUUGUUUCCAAUUGAAACAACUAACAACUCUGAAUAUCUCCGAUCAACUUCAUUUAUUACUCUCACUUAUUUCUCAUUGCCAACUGUUUCCCCUUGCUUUUCCAGCGACUUAAUUGCUUUUCCACUUGUUCAAAAACUGUAAGCGAGGUUAUCAUCUUUAAUAGCUAUCACAUAACCAAUCAAGGACGGUGUGUGGUUCACCUCUUUAGACUACAAAAAUGCUCAACCUGACCCCCUUCGAGAGUUUGCUGAGAAUUUACUCGUUGAAAUUAACACCAAUACUAUGAAAGACAUUACUCGCUUUUGUAAUGUCUUUGUUGAUUUGAAUUUCCAGGACUCAGAAGCUAAGAUGAUAUGGGUGGAUCGCCUGGGCUUGGAUAUGCGACUGUUUUCUCCUAACUACGGCUUAUUCUAGGUCCACAUUCAUUUCCCUAGAGAAGUCACCGAUGAAAAAGGUGCAAAGUCGACAUUUAAUUGUAUGUAACAGUUGGCUUGGGAGGUAGAAAGAAACUUCCAUCCUCUGGAUUUUGAGAAGGUUACAAAAUUGAAACACAUAAAGUCAUGAUACUCUUGAGUUAUAAUUUUUUUUGCACAACCACUUACCGAUUUAAUCAAAUAUGCAAGGUGAAACUUUGUAAUUUUUCAAGCAAAUGACCAUUUUUUGGUGUUUGUAUUCCGUUAUGAUUCAUUUGAGGCUUGAUGUAGAGAUCACUUUGAAGACUUGGCUUAAUUAAGUUUUGCAAGGUAAUUUUUGG